UACGUAGGGUGCGAGCGUUGUCCGGAAUUAUUGGGCGUAAAGAGCUCGUAGGCGGUCUGUCGCGUCUGCUGUGAAAACCCGAGGCUCAACCUCGGGCCUGCAGUGGGUACGGGCAGACUAGAGUGCGGUAGGGGAGAAUGGAACUCCUGGUGUAGCGGUGGAAUGCGCAGAUAUCAGGAAGAACACCGAUGGCGAAGGCAGGUCUCUGGGCAUUAACUGACGCUGAGGAGCGAAAGCGUGGGGAGCGAACAGG
rnacentral:rRNA from 1 species